GUCUAUGGCCAUGCUACCCUGAACAAGCCCGAUCCCAUUUGAUCUCGGAAGCUAAGCAGAGUUGGGCCUGGUUAGUACUUGGAUGGGAGACCUCCUAGGAAGUCUGUAGGCAUAAAUA
rnacentral:rRNA from 1 species